GUCGGUGGCUAUUGCGUGAGGGCUACACCCGUUCCCAUCCCGAACACGGCCGUUAAGCCCUCCAGCGCCGAUGGUACUGCCAGGGCAGCUUGGUGGGAGAGUAGGACGUUGCCGGG
rnacentral:rRNA from 1 species